AUUGAACGCUGGCGGCAGGCCUAACACAUGCAAGUCGAGCGAGCGGCGGACGGGUGAGUAAUGUCUGGGAAAAUGCCUGAUGGAGGGGGAUAACUACAGGAAACGGUAGCUAAUACCGCAUACCCUCAGAUGUGCCCAGAUGGGAUUAGCUAGUGGGUGGGGUAACGGCUCACCUAAGCGUCGAGCCCUCGCUGGUCUGAGAGGAUGACCAGCCACACUGUAACUGAGCCACGGGCCGGACUCCUCCGGGAGGCAGCAUUGGGGAAUAUUGCACAAUGGGCGCAAGCCUGAUGCAGCCAUGCCGCGUGUGUGAAGAAGGCCUUCGGGUUGUAAAGCACUUUCGGUGGGGAGGCGUUACCCGCAGAAGAAGCACCGGCUAACUCCGUGCCAGCAGCCGCGGUAAUAC
rnacentral:rRNA from 1 species